CAGCAGCCGCGGUAAUACGGAGGGCGCGAGCGUUACCCGGAUUUACUGGGCGUAAAGGGCGUGUAGGCGGCCUGGGGCGUCCCAUGUGAAAGGCCACGGCUCAACCGUGGAGGAGCGUGGGAUACGCUCAGGCUAGAGGGUGGGAGAGGGUGGUGGAAUUCCCGGAGUAGCGGUGAAAUGCGCAGAUACCGGGAGGAACGCCGAUGGCGAAGGCAGCCACCUGGUCCACUUCUGACGCUGAGGCGCGAAAGCGUGGGGAGCAAACCGGAUUAGAUACCCCCGUAGUCCCUGUCUCUUAUAA
rnacentral:rRNA from 1 species